GUCUCUCCAGCGAGCACACAUGCCCUAUAACAAAAAUCUCUCAAAAAAACCCAAAAUGAAACCAAACAAAACUGACAGCUGCUGGUGAGAUUUGGUCCCUACCUUAGCCCAGGAAGCCUGACUGAAUCAUUAGUAUUAAUUAUUGAGCAUAAUCCAUGCACGGGUCUGCACGAGGCAGUGUGCACCAUCUCUCCUGUCGUCUCUGACAUGAGCCGUGUCACACUCGCCACACGACCCCAUCAACCUGAGCCACGUUUCCAUGCUCAGUGGCCCCACGUGGCAGCCGCUCCAUGAUGGGGCAGGGUCUGUGCCCUCCCAGCACGCAGCAGGCAGGGACACGCCUGAGCCCGAGGGCCCGGCCAGAGCAGGCUCAGGGGCUGUAGAAUGGAUGCCGGGAACGCACGCGAGACUUCAUGGGUGCAUCCUUCCUACCACGCAGAAUUGUACUUUCUCUCGUGAUUCUGCAAAGACAUGCUGUCCCCUGACAAGGACUUCCAGGUCACCUGGUACUUGUCCUGGAGCCCCUGCCCUGCGUGUGCGAAGCAGGUGGCCGACCUCCUGGCUGCGCACCGCAACGUGAGGCUGACCAUCGCCCCCGCCUCUACUACUUCUGGGACCCGGAAUUCAGGAAUGGGCUUCGCAGACUGUCUGAGGAAGGAGCCCGGGAGGACAUCAUGUCCCCACAAAGGGGGGGGGGAGUUAGGGCUGGGGAAGGUGUACGGUGAGGGGUGGCAGCUCUGGGAUGCUGGCGGGGGGUGCGACCCAGGGGAACCUGCCCAGGACUCAGCCCACCCGGUUCCAGUGGGAGCCAGAGACCUGCUCGUGGAGGGUGGUCCUGGGCGAUCAGGGGGAAGGCUGGGGCCUGACUGGUGUCUUCCCUCAUUCAUCUCAGAUUUGGAAAAAAUGUCAGAAAUUCUUUGUGGAUGACGAGAGAACGCGCCUCACCCGUCUAUGAACCGGGGUAACAAUGCCUGCUGCCUGUUCCCAGCUGGGCCCCGUCUCCUCCUCUCCUCCCUGCGUUCCCAAUUCUUCCAUCAGAGACCCCUCUUCAUCCCGAGCAUCCUCUGUCUGCCCAAGGCCUCCCUGUCUCCCCGUCUGGGAACCUAACGUGGCCCCUUCCACCAUGCUUGGGCAACCGCAUCUUACUAGUCAAUGAAGUUGAAGAGCCACGAGGUGUGUCGGUGUGAAAAUCGGCAGCUUCGAGAAACACGUUAAGGCUGACCCGCCUUAAACCUUAGUCCUCACAGGGGCUGUGCGUCUCGGAUGGAGAUGGCUGUCGGAGGCCAGGGCAAUGUGGUGACACAUGUUCUGUGGCACUACGGUUCUUCCAGACUAGUGGAAAUGAAAUUAAGGAGGGGAGCCCUUGGGAACGGCAGGCAGCAUGGCUGAGCACAGUCAGGUGGACAGGGCUGUGUCCAUCCUGUUUCAGGAGGUGGAGUUUUUAGUUGUUUGAGCUGUGACAGAGGCAGGUGCACACUGAGCAUACAGAUAGGAGGAAAGCGCCGUUGGGGCCUCCCCCUAAACUGACCACCAUGACCCAUCUGCAUUGAGAAGAGGAGUCGGCCCCCAGGACUUCUCCCUCCAAUACGAAACCUGGACCCGGCUGAGGCUCCGGACACAACUGUCAUUAGCCCAAGAUUUGGGACACACCUUGCUGCGGCUUUGCGUGUCUGCAGUUUCCCUGGGCCCUGCUGUGUGGAGGGAGGUGCUGGCUGGCUCCAUCAGAGGCCUGCUCUGCCCAGCCAGAGGGGAGGCAAGGUGGGCCCGAGACUGAGGAGGGACUUCCCAUAGCAGGCAGGAGGCAGCCCUGGGAGGUUGCUCACAGAUAAGGGGCUUCUGAAGCCAAGGUCCUAGAAGUAGAAAUUAGGUAGGGAUAACCAGCUGCCCAGGGCUGCCUCCAGAUGCCACAGGUCAGGUGUGUGGGAUGACCUUUCGGGAGGGGAGAGGGUGCGAUCCCCCAGGGAAGCCAAGCACCCCAGGGCCCUCCUACCCAGUGACCUAAACAGGAAGUAGGUGUAGCCCCUGCUUAGCCUCAGGGAGCCAUUCUCAGACAAAGGACUUUCCGAGGCUAAGGGCAGGGCCUGGACCAGCCUGCUGGGAGCUGUGGCCACGGCCUGCUGCAUCAGGUACUCACUGUGCUGUGUGUCUCCCCGUGUCUCCCGCCGGGUGCUCUGGCUCUGUCUCUGCAGAAACCCCUGGGCUUGUCCUCCUGUGGGACAGAUUCCCUGGGCAUAACCCCAAGUCCUCAAGCUCUCAGAGACAGAUCAAUGGCAGAUUCAGGUGAAGCAUGACAGAAAAAUGGUUGGACGGGCCAGCCAGUACCAUGGUGAUUAAGGUGCUGGAUUCCCACAGGGCUGACCACAGUUCAAAUCCCGGACCUGGUGGCUUGCUUUCUCACUUUCCAUCUCUCUU